AUGCCCACGAGAGCAGCUGCAGAGACUAUGGCUCCUGCAAGAGCAGUAUGGAGCAGAAGCAGUGCCCUGAGAGCACCAGGAGAGAGGAUGCAGCCAUCAGGAGCAGGCCUGUUGGAAAUCAAAAAAUAGGAGAUGAGUAUUUUACAUUCAUCACUGAGUGCAAGGACCCCAAAGCCUGCACCAUUCUCCUCCGGAGGGCCAGCAAAGAGAUUCUCUUAGAAGUAGAACACAACCUCCAGGAUGCCAUGCAAGUGUGUGGCAACGUUCUCCUGGACCCCCAGCUGGUGCCAGGUGGUGGGGCCUCUGAGAUGGCUGUGGCCCAUGCCUUGACAGAAAAAUCAAACGCCAUGACUGGUGUGGAACAAUGGCCACACAGGGCUGUUGCACAGGCCCUAGAGGUCAUUCCCCGUACCCUGAUCCAGAACUGUGGGGCCAGCACCAUCCGUCUGCUUACCUCCCUUCGGGCCAAGCAUACCCAAGAGAACUGUGAGACCUGGGGUGUGAAUGGUGAGACGGGUGCUUUGGUGGACAUGAAAGAACUAGGCCUAUGGGAGCCACUGGCUGGGAAGCUGCAGACGUAUAAGACAGCAGUGGAGACGGCAGUUCUGCUGCUGCGGAUUGAUGACAUUGUCUCAGGCCACAAAACGAAGGGCGAUGAUCAGGCAAGGCUGAGCUCCUGAUGCUGGCCAGGAAUGA